rnacentral:lncRNA from 1 species
AUUUGGGCCCAGACCCCUGAGUCCAUUGAGAGCUUCCCUCAGAUCACUCAGAAUUUUCUCUACUUUCUGGGAACCCAAGCUUUUACUAUACCCCUUCUGAUCUUCUCUAGCAUCCUGAUGAUGUAUACGGUAGCCCUGGCUAACUGUAACAGACGCCUCAGCUCUGAGCUCAAACGCCGGAUAGAGACAGAAGUGCAGAAUAAAGUCUUCCUAGCCCAGAGAGCGGUGGCUCUGAGUCCAACGAAUGGAGCGUCCUGA